GUUAUUGGGGGCCUAUUUAUUCAUGGCCUCUUCCUUGAGAGAGGGGGCCUCAUUAAGGGCCACUUCAAUAGUUUCUCCCCUUUGAGGGGAUUUUCUUUAGCAUGAUCUUGUAAAAGAGGGGGCCUCAUCAAAGGCCACUUCAUCAACCUUUCUCGUUACUGGGGGCCUAUUUAUUCAUGGCCUCUCCCUUGAGAGGGGGGAUUCAUCAAAGGCCACUUCAAUAGUUUCUCAUUUUUGAGGGGGUCUUCUUUGGCAUGAUCUCUUUUGUAAAAGAGGGAGCCUCAUCAAGGAUCGUUUCAUCAACCUCUCUCGUUACUGUGAGCCUAUUUAUUCAUGACCUCUUCCUUGAGAGAGGGGGUCUCGUUAAGGGCCGCUCUCGUACCACUUCUCCUGUAAUGGUGGUGGGACCUGCAAUGUACGGCUAGGACACCUGCUGGUCCUAGGGGCUAUAUCAUGUUCUGUGCUCAUUUUUUCUCUAGGUUUCGACUCCAAAUGUUGUCCAAGUUAUCAGGCUUCCUUUCGUUCUUUUUCAAGAACAAAUCAUUUUUCAAGGGGAUGCCCAAAUGUUCCUCUUCAGUAAGCUUUCACCACAAGAUUGUUCAUGGUUAUAGUAUGGUUUUUUACAGACGGCGUCAAUCUGUUGACCCCCAAAAAUGUUGCCAACAGAUGCCGAACUUGCCCGUCCACACUUAAGCGAAAGUCCAACACGCAAAGACAUGUGAACAGUCUAAAAUAGACAGAUUAAUGACUUGGGAGUAGUUCAACGGUGCGAGACGAGAACGUUCGAAAUCUGACGAGAUGUUCGUUGAUCGAUUGUACAAUAAUUACCAAUUGAUAUUUGUAAAUGUGUAUGUAAAAAUGUGUAAACUCGUAUUGUGUUG
rnacentral:lncRNA from 1 species